UUGUAAGGACGGUCCUUCCUUAUAUGUGAGGGGCAGUGGGGCAAGUCAAAUUUACCGCUCCAUCUUUAGAAGGUAGAGAGAGAAAUGGGAAGGGGUAGUUAUGUCUUUUCCAAUCAUCCAAAGUACUCUCUUGCACCCUGGUCACCAACCACGUGUACCACAGACAAUGUUAGGGCCGGGAUUAAAAAGGAACAAUGGUCAAUUUCUAGACAGAUCAAAA
rnacentral:lncRNA from 1 species